CACGCACACACACACACACACACACACACACACACACACACACACACACACAGCCUGUUAUAGUACACACACACACACACAGAGCCUGUUAUAGUACACACCCACACACAGAGCCUGUUAUAGUACACACACACAAACACACACACACACAGAGCCUGUUAUAGUACUGCUACACGCACACACACGCACACACACGAUCAGCAUCCCUAGACCCCAAAACCAACCGUCGCGCACACCCCAAACGUGUGAUCACGUUUAGAGUGUAAAUGAAUCUAGAUGAUAUUUACCUUGGUGCCCCUGCGCAUCAGCCCAGUUCAACCCGUGCGGUUUCUCGUAGCACUUGGCGCGCGGAUUCCUCAAACAUUACAACGUUCCUCAACUGUCAGCUAUCCUGAAACCUUUGAAGUUUGUAGAGCUCUGAAAGAGUACAUUUUAAGUGGAACAUUUACUCCACCAUGCAACAAAAAAAUGCGCAAGGAAAUGCGGCGUGUGUCUGAAAACUUCCUAGCAAAAGACAACCGAUUGUUUUACACUGGACCAAAUAAAACGUAUAUGAGACUAGUUGUUUGUACUGAGGAGGAAAAAGGUCUGUUUUGAUGGAGUGCCAUAACUCCGGCACCGGCAACCACAACGGUGUACGAGGCACGAGAGACAGGGUGAUUGCUGGAUACUUCUGGCCUACCCUAAUGAAAGAUGUAACUGAGUGGGUGAAGUGUUGUCGCCGCUGCCAACUAAAUGACCCCAUGAAGACGGGACACCAGUGUUACAUUCUAUUAAGGUAUUCCAAAUUCUGUUUUGUUUAAU